ensembl:lincRNA
CAUGUAAACAUGAUUUGCAUGCCCUGUGCAAAAUGAAAAUGCAGGGUGUCUUGUUAGAAAAGUAAUAUAAAAAAAGAGAAAAGAAAAAGGAAAGCCAUAUAAAAAUCCUGUUAAAGAUACUAAAAUAUAAAGCUUUUCAGAUCCUAAACUCUCUCACUCAGCUUGUCAUGAUGUUUUUUAUUUGCUAUUUAGUGUUAUUUUCCAUUAAGAAAAAUUAAAAUUUUUCAUUAUUAGCAUUAGUUUUACCACUCAUCUUUAAAUUGUACAUGCCAGUAUUAAAUAUGAAUAAAGAGCAAUUAACUCAUGCAGAAUUAUCUAAAUGAUGUAAUUCCUACUGUCAUACAUAAAUGCAUGUGAAUUUCACUCUUAACUGUGAAAAAUUUGCACAAAACUAACUCAACUUUUUUUAAUUCACUUCUUGAUUCAUCUACAUAUUACUAACACUUUCUACCUUUGGCUUACAGAUGAGUAAGGAAGAACUGAAAGGAAGAGGAACCACCUUUCCCUGUCCUUGCCUUUUCUUUUACAUCAUCAUUAGUGGUUAACUACAGGGAAGUGAUGACUAAGAAAGGGCUUAGAAAACUUCAGCCUGCACUGAAAGUAUUUACAUAUGAAGAAUAUAUACUGCAAACUAACCCGAGGACUGACAGAAGAAGUAAACAUCUUAAUAAUGUUAGGAAUUAGUACGCUCCCUCUGAAGAAAGAAUUUACAAACAUGAUGGGUGAGAAGGUAAGAAAAACUAUAAUAUUUCAUUUUAAUUCGAAUGUCAGUAUGAUUCAUGCUUUUAAAAAAAUCUAUUUCCUUUUCUGUCUACACUCGGUGUAUCCUGACAUUAUCCUCUGAGAAAGACCCAACAUCAUUUAGGCAGUGUUGUAGUGGGUUGAACUGUGUCCUAAACCACAUGUACCUGUGGAUGUGACCUUAUGGGGGAGGGGGGGAGGUCUUUGCAGAUCUAACUAAGCUAAGGAUCUCCAGAUGAGAUCAUCCUGUAUUACAGAGAUGGGCCCUAAGUCUAGUAAAUGCCCUUAUAAGAAGAGGAGAAAGGAAGGGAAGAAAGUCAUGUGAUGGCGGAGACAGAGAUUGGAGUUACGCUGUCCCAGGGCAAGGAAUGCCUGGCAGCAAGAGAAGCUGGAAGAGGCAAGAAAAGACUCUAGCCUAGAGCUUUUUAAAAAGUAAAGUCCUGCCAAUACCUUGAUUUUGAACUCCUGACUUCCAGAACUCUGAGAGAAUACAUUCUUGUUGUUUUAAACUACCAAGUUUUUGGUUACCCAGCAGAUUUCGGAAAGACGUAGAACUUUUACACCAAAAAAAAAAAAAAAAGGGGCGUAACCUGAAUCAUAGCAUCAGGAAACUGCCAGACAAAUCUAACUUAAAGAACUUUCUUAAAAUAACAACAGUUCUGCACUCUAUGUAUAUCAAUGUCAUAAAAAUAAAAAUAAAAUAAGAGAAGAGAAAAUAAAAAUAAGAGAAGCUGAGGAGGUAAUACUAAAAGAAACGAGAGCAACAUGACAACUAAAAUGCAAAUGAAUUGAGAGAAAGAAAUUAUUAUAAAGGAUAGUAUUAUGAUAAUUGGCAAUAUUUAGAUAUAGAAAGUUGAUGGGGCACUUGGGUGGCUAGUGGGUUGAGCGUCCGAUACUUGGUUGUGACUCAGGUCAUGAUCUCAUGGGUCGUGGGAUCAAGUCCCAAGUGGGGCUCUGUGUUCAGUGGGUAGUCUGCUUCAGGAUACUGUCCUUCCUCCCCCUCUCCCACUUCUCCGCAUACACUCUUUCUUCCUCUUUCUAAAAUAAAUAAAUCUUAAAAAAUACAUUUAUAAAAAAAUAUGGAGAAUUGUUGGGGGUCACUGACAGGACAUGACUGCCAUUUGACCAUGAGCUAGACUGGGACAACUGGAGGCUCCUCACCCCCUCACAUGUGCUUGGAGUGUAUACUCUGACCGCCAUUCCCAUUGCUGGAAACUGUUUCCAAGGAAGCAGCCUUGAGAGAACAUUGUGUUGUUGGGACCAUCUGGACGCUAGAUGUGACUGAACCCAGUUAAGGCCUCUCUACAAAUUUAAGAUUCUGGUGGGCAAGUGCAGAGAUCCAUUUACCUUGUAGCCAACCAUGACAAGACUUAUGUUAAUGCCUCUGCUUCUCAAAUCUGCCACCUAUCAAUCUGGAGUAGUCUCUUCCAUCUUCUUUCACUCUCCGUGUACAGGGGCCAGUUUGUGAACCACCAAAAUUAUGUUUAGGUAAAAAUAUUAAAGCAGUGUUAAUUUUCAUGAAUUUAACUAUUAUAUUAUGGUUAUGCUAGAAAAUAUCUUUGCUCUUUGGAAAUACAUCCUAGUGUAGUUAGGGAUGAAGAUUUAUGAUUGCUGAAAUUUACUUUAGAAGGCGGGGGUGGGAGAAAGGAGAGUAAGUUGAAGGUUUUAAAUAUAAAUGUUUUUUUGUGGUCAAUUGUCUACCUAUUUUUCCAUAAUAUGAAAAUGAUUCAGUUGAAGGACAGAUAACAUAAGAUUAUUUUACUACAGGCUUAACUAACAUUUGAAAAUAAAAAUACUUAUAUUUUAAUGAUGCAUAUAUACACUCAUAUAAAGAUUUUCAAUGGGAUCUUUACAAACAUGGGAAUCCCUGGUCAUAUUUUAAAAAUUAAGAUAUAGGAGUGCCUGGGUGGCUCAGAGGCUAAAUAUCCAACUCUUCAUUUCAGCUGGGAUCAUGUUCUCAGGGUAAUAGGAUCAAGCUCCAAGUCAGGCUCCAUGCUCAGCGGGGAGCUGCUUGAGAUUCUCUCUCUUCCUCUGUCCCUCCUCUGCUCAGGUGCGCUCUCUCUCUCUCUCUAUCAAAUAAAUGAAUCUAUUUUAUUUUUUAUUUUUAUUUUUUUAAAGACUUCAUUUAUUUGAGAGAGAGAGAGUGGGCAUGAGAGGGAGAAGUUCAGAGGGAGAAGCAGACUCCGCAGAGCUGGGAGCCUGAUGUGGGACUCGAUCCCGGUACUCCAGGAUCAUGACCUGAGCUGAAGGCAGUUGCUUAACCAACUGAGCCACCCAGGCACCCAAAUGAAUCUAUUUUAAAAAUUGAGAUAUAAUUCCCAUAUCAUAAAAUUCAC